rnacentral:pre_miRNA from 9 species
UCUCGAUAGAGUAAAAGUUAACUCAUAUUUGUAUGGGGUCGGAACGUUUGCCUACGUUUGCCGCUAGGGGCGCUGUUCCAACUGCAUACAAAUUUGAGUUAACUUUUACGCUAUCGA